CCUCCAGGAAAAGGUAAGAACCUGGAGGGUGGCUAAAUGUAUGUCAGUAGGUCUGUCUGUGUGUGUGUCAGUAUGUCUGUGUGUAUGCCAGUAUGUCUGUGUGUGUGUGUGUGUGUCAGUAUGUCUGUGUGUAUGCCAGUAUGUCUCUGUGUGUGUGUCAGUAUUUCUGCGUGUGUGUGUCAGUAUGUCUGUGUGUAUGCCAGUAUGUCUGUGUGCGUAUGCCAGUAUGUCUGUGUGUGUGUGUCAGUAUGUCUGUGUGUAUGCCAGUAUGUCUGUGUGUGUGUGUCAGUAUGUCUGUGUGUAUGCCAGUAUGUCUGUGUGUGUAUGUAAGUAUGUCUGUGUAUGUAUGUGUGUGUCAGUCAGUAUGUCUGUCAGUGUAUGUGUCUGUGUGUGUAUGUAUGUAUGUCUGUGUGUGUGUGUGUGUGUGUCAGUAUGUCUGCCAGGAUAUAUUUGUAUGUCAGUGUAUGUGUGUGUCAGUAUAUAUCUGUGAAUGUUUUAAUGUCUGUCUGUAUCAGCCAUUACGUCUGUCUGUAUCAGCCAUUACGUCUGUCUGUGUAUAUGUCAGUAUGCCUGUGUGUGUGUGUCAGUGUGUGUCAAUGUGUCUGUCAGUGUAUGUGUCUGUGUGUUUUAGUAUAUCUGUCAGUGUAUGUGUUUGUGUGUGUGUCAGUAUAUCUGUUAAUGUAUGUGUCUGUGUAUGUAUGUAUGUAUGUCUGUGUGUGUGUCAGUAUGUCUGCCAGUAUAUAUUUGUGUGUAGUGACUGUGUGUCAGUAUGUAUCUGUGAAUGUUUUAAUGUCUGUCUGUGUGUGUAUGUGCCAGUACGUCUGUCAGUGUGAUUGCGGGUUGGACGUAAUUGGGGGGUGAGGCAGUGGCAGGGACAGGGCCCAUGGGGCCCAAGAAAAUGCAUUGCCCAGGGUCCUAAUCAUAUUAUAGACGGCCCUGAGCGCAGCCCUGCAGCAACUGGGGCUGGCCCAGGCAGAGUGUGCUAAAGUCCUGGCCAAAACACAGAUGGAGUGCACUGAGUCCUUGGUGAAACAGAUUGCUGUGACGCAAGCAGAGAUGUUUAAAGUAGCCCGUGAGGAGCAGCAAAAAGUCACCCAGUUACUACAACAGGAAAUCCAAGCUAUCUCUGAAAAACUGAAUGGAGACCCUGAUUGAAGAUACCAGGGGCCAAAGGUGAUUCGGGCGAGCCACUACCUUCAGAAAAUGACUGCAUCAGAUGAUGUUGAGGCGUACCUUCUGGCAUUUGAACGCACUGCUGAGAGGGAGGGAUGGCCGGCUGAUGAGUGGGCAAGCAUACUGGCCUAAGUGGAGAGCAGCAGAAGGCAUAUUAUGACCUAGAACCAGCCGAUGCAAGUAACUACAGCAAACUGAAAUUUUAAAUCUUGGCACGACUGGGAGUAACCUCUGCAGUACUUGCCCAAAGGUUCCACUCAUGGUCAUAUUCUUCAGACAAAGCCGCACGUUCCCAAAUGUUUGACCUCAUACACCUUGCACGGAAAUGGCUACAACCUGAAAUCCAUACAGCUAGCCACAUUGUGGAAAUCUUAGUAAUGGAUCGGUUUUUGCGUGGUUUACCAGCUGCCCUGCAUCGCUGGGUCAGCCAAAGUGAUCCCCAUACAGCUGACCAACUGAUUGCCUUCGUGGAAAGAAAUGUGGCUGCAAGAGAACUGCUACGGCCUACUUCACAGGAAAACUCCCGCAAUCCUAAGCCCCAAGAUUCUGCAAGACCUGGUAAGACUGUUUAAGGGGAGCUGAAGAGCUGCAGCUCCAUACACAAAACACCAGGGGGGCAUUCAGGUGUAAUAGGCCUGGGAGAGGAACUAAUUGGUGGUCAGAUUUUACUGUGAAAUGUUUCAAGUGCAAAGAGGAUGGUCAUAUGGCCAAAGACUGUCCAUUGAAGGAUGAACCUAUGGAAUGCAAUAUGGGCAAAGAUGAGGGAGCACGUUCAUUUUUUUCUCAACUAUUAUGGUGCUAUUAACAAUGACUAUGAUAAUUACCCUCAUAAAUGCUGUGUAACUGUGAAUGGAAAAAUGUCUAAAGCAUUACUUGAUUCAGGUAGUAUGGUUACGUUGGUAGCAGAGUCUAUAAUACCUUGUGUAAAACCUGAUCAUGUACAGAAAAUAGGCAUUAUCUGUGUUCAUGGUGAUAAAAAGGAAUACCCCACUGCGGAAGUAAAUAUUGGAACCCAGUAUGGGGAUUUAAAGUACCAAGUGGGUGUAGUACCUAGAUUAUCUCAUGAGGUAGUGAUUGGUAGAGACUUUCCUCAUUUUCUAGAAUUAUGGGCAGCUGUACAAAAGAGAGACCAAAAUUNNNNNNNNNNNNNNNNNNNNNNNNNNNNNNNNNNNNNNNNNNNNNNNNNNNNNNNNNNNNNNNNNNNNNNNNNNNNNNNNNNNNNNNNNNNNNNNNNNNNUGUGUGUGUGUGUGUACGUGUGUGUCAGUAUGUCUGCCAGGAUAUAUUUGUGUGUCAGUGUAUGUGUGUGUCAGUAUGUAUCUGUGAAUGUUUUAAUGUCUGUCUGUGUGUGUGUGUCAGCAUGUCUUUGUGUGUCAGUAUGUCUGUGUGUGUAUGUAAGUAUGUCUGUGUGUGUAUGUGUGUGUCAGUCAGUAUGUCUGUCAGUGUAUGUGUCUGUGUGUGUAUGUAUGUAUGUCUGUGUGUGUGUGUGUGUGUGUGUGUGUGUCAGUUUGUCUGCCAGGAUAUAUUUGUAUGUCAGUGUAUGUGUGUGUCAGUAUAUAUCUGUGAAUGUUUAAUGUCUGUCUGUAUCAGCCAUUACGUCUGUCUGUGUAUAUGUCAGUAUGCCUGUGUGUGUGUGUGUAUAUAUGUCAGUAUGCCUGUGUGUGUGUGUCAAUGUGUCUGUCAGUGUAUGUGUCUGUGUGUUUUAGUAUAUCUGUCAGUGUAUGUGUUUGUUUGUGUGUGUGUCAGUAUAUCUGUUAAUGUAUGUGUCUGUGUAUGUAUGUAUGUCUGUGUGUGUGUCAGUAUGUCUGCCAGUAUAUAUUUGUGUGUAGUGACUUUGUGUGUCAGUAUGUAUCUGUGAAUGUUUUAAUGUCUGUGUAUGUGCCAGUACGUCUGUCAGUGUGAUUGCGGGUUGGACGUAAUUGGGGGGUGAGGCAGUGGCAGGGACAGGGCCCAUGGGGCCCAAGAAAAUGCAUUGCCCAGGGUCCUAAUCAUAUUAUAGACGGCCCUGACUGUAACUUUAUGGUUUCUCCUCCCACCUUCAUUUUAUGGUCUCUCCUGCCACAGGUUCCAUUGUUGUUUUACCCCUUCACCACCACUACCAUUUUUAAUAAAAGGCACACUUUUUAUUUGCAGCAGAAACACUAUACACUAAUUCAGGAAGUGGACAACAUUGACAAAAAACUUUAGGUCAAAAAACCCAAACUGGAGAAAUUCUCAAAUGUAGCUUUUGCUAUCUAGAGUAGUAAAGUGUAGUAUAUUAAAGUAUGGGAGCAAAGUAGUAAAGUAGAGUCGGUUAGUACAGAAGUGCUGUAUAUCAUAUUUUCCAUGCACCUCUGAUGCCCACCUUCAAGAUAUCCUAUGGGACUCUAUUUCCUGCUCUCUUAGACUCUCAGUCAGUACCUUCGAAAGAUCAUAUAAAAAAUAAAUUUAUUUCGGAAUGUAUAUGAUUUAAACUGUUAAUUGCUUUCCCUUCUUAGACCUUGGUAGCCCACAUUGCUUCCUCUCUUGCAAUUGUGUCAUUAAAAAUAACUAACCCUUCACUGUAAGCUAUUCUGGUAACCUACUGUUUCCCAUUCUUUCUGUACAUCUUGUGCCACUUUACCCCACUGCCUCUAGAAUGCAAGCUUGUUUAAACAGGGCCCUCUACACCUUCUGUUGCUGUGCGCCCAACUCGUCUUCUUACAAAUACUUGCCUAUUACUCCGCCUAUUGUACAGUGCUGCAUAAUUUGUUGGUGCUUUAUAAAUAAUAAUAAUAAAUAUAAUAAAAUGAGAUAGAAAUAUGAACCGUGUCUUAUUAAAUAGCAAAAAUUACUACACAGUGGCAGAAAAUACCUAAAUUGCCUUUGUAGAAAUAAUGCUACUUUCCAAAAAAUACUAACUGCAUAGUAAGCUGUUAGUAACAAAAUAUUAUUAUUAAUGGCAUUUAUAUAGUGCUAAUUUACUCCACAGCAUUUUACAAUAUUAUAAAAUGGUCAAUUUAACAAUAAAUGAGACAAUUACAAAAUGUUACAGAAACUAUAGGUUGAGAACCAUGUUCAAACAAACUCAAAUGCAGCAUGAAUUGUAGCACUUUGGCUAAUCUCACGUAAAAGCCAUAUGGUAAAAUGUUUUUUGAACGUGGACUUUUGUGCAAAUCAUUAUUUUGUGUGUGCAUUGCUCUUCAGUACUUAUCACAGCAGUACAAUUUUAGUCAAUUAUAUUGGUUUUGGAGGUCACAGCACAAAUAAAGAAAAUGAAUCAAAGGUUCAUUACUAUAAAGGUUUUCCAACACACUGACAUUUUUGAAUAUUUUUUUUUGCAAUUAUUGCUAGCUAUAAAAUGCCCUUUAGUGCUCUGUUGGUAUUUUAAUUAUAAAAACUACAUGUGUAUAUAAAGGCAUUUUUCUUUAACUAAGUUUUACUCAUUGAAUAAGUAAACUUGAGUUUAACUUAAGUUAUAAUACCGUAUUUUAUUAUAGUCAUCACACAUCAACCUUAAAUGUAAAAUCAAUAAUAGCUCAUUUAUUUUCACAGUAGAUGAAGUUUACUGAUUUACUAUAUGGGUACACAUUUUUUUCAAUUUUGUAAACAAUAUUUCAAUUUGAUCUAUCUAUCUAUCUAUCUAUCUAUAUAUCUAUCUAUCUAUCUAUCUUUCUAUCUAUCUCUCCCUCUCUUUAUCUACCUAUCGAUCUAUCUAUCUACCUAUCUAUCUACCUAUCGAUCUAUCUAUCAUCUCGCAUUAUCCAUCAUGCGCUAUCUAUCUAUCUAUCCAUCCAUCCAUCGAUCUAUCUCUCCCUCUCUUUCUAUUUAUCUACCUACCUGCCUAUCUAUCUAUAUAUCCAUCUAUCUAUCUAUCUAUCUAUCUAUCUAUCUAUCUAUCUAUCUCUCCCUCUCUCUCUCUUUAACUAUCUAUCUAUAUAUCUAUCUAUCAUAUUGCGUUAUCUAUCUUGUGUUAUCUAUCUAUCUCUCCCCUCUCUCUUUAUCUAUCUAUCUAUCAUAUUGCGUUAUCUAUCUUGCUUUAUCUAUCUAUCCAUUCACCCAUCUAUCUCUCCCUCUCUUUCUCUUUAUCUACCUACCUGCCAAUCUAUCUAUCUAUCUAUCUCUCUCCCUCUCUCUCUCUUUAACUAUCUAUCUGUCUGUCUGCCUGUCUGUCUGUCUAUCUAUCUUUCUAAAGUUUAUUACAUAAAUGCAUGAAAUAAAGAAAAACAAGUUUUAUCUAUGAUGGUUCAUUAAUGGGAAGCAAUACAAAUAGACAACCAAAUACAUAAACCUACCACCAUUGAAGGAAUAGUUAUUUACAAAACACCUGCAACAGCAAAAAACACUGUAUCUCACUUUGAACUGAUUACCAUUUCCGGGCUCUCCUAACCUUUUGAGUUCCAUACAGUGAUUGAAGAGGAGGACAUCAUGUGCAGUCUUCUGCAAUGGUGGCUUACCUCCCAAGUGUUUCUAUUUAGUAGGGACAGUCCCUAUUUUGAGUCCAAAUCCAUUGUCCCUAAAAAAGAGCUACACAGCAAUAAUACUCUCAGUGAUGUGUCUUUAAACUACAAUUAAUAUCUCUUGUUAUUAGUAAGUCACUUAAAGGUUUUAAGAACAGCCUCGUCCCUGGUCACAAACCUAAAAUUAAAAUGUCCCUUUUCAUCCAUUUGAAAUAUUAUCAUAUUAUCAUGUUUGUAGUUACAUAAUGAUUACCUAAAUUAUAUAUAUAUUUUUUGUACAGUAUAUUACAGAGUGUUUGCACAUUUUUAUUAUUUUAUAAGACAUAAGUUAGUAAGUUUUCUUAACUUGUUUUUUUGACAUAGUAAUUCAAAGUUCACUCUUUUACAUAUCUGUAUUAAUGACAUUGCUCCAAACCCAGUUUGAAGCAAAUUCCAAUUUUUUACACAUAAUGGGGAUAAAAAAAUCCUUAUUGAAUCCCAAAUGGUCACUAGAACCCCCUUUGAUCAACAAAUCAUACAUAUCUAUUUCCUUUUUUGUUUUAUCUAGUUUGCUUUACAAAUUUGAUUAAAUUACAUGCAUCAUGCCUUCAGGAAUUCUAUAGAAGAUAGAUCUCUUUAAAAAAAAAGUGGGUAACCUUAAUUGCCAUUCUCACUUUUCAGGUAUUACCUGUUAAUUGCUGUAUAACAAACUUCAUCAGUGAUCUUUUUUUUUGUUUCUCAGUGCAUCAAAUGUAUUUUUUGCUUUGUGUCCUUGCUUUCAUCUGACAUUCAUUUACUGUUGCCCUCUCUUUUGUCAGUUUUCAUUAAACCCUUAUUCCGAUAUCGUGAUCGACAAUUAAAAAUCCUAGAAUUUUUUUACUGUAUUUCCUCUCUGCGGGUUUUUGAGGGAGCCCCCUUACCCUAGAUUUACUGCUUUUGUUACUUCUUUUGCCCAGUUAUUCAGUGCUUACCCAUUGCUAAAAUUAAAGGGUCACAAAAUUAAAGGGAACACAAACAUGUAUUCCUGACCGUAUUGUGUUAAAACCACUGUUACAGACUCAUCUGUCUGUGCAUUACUUUUAUUUUCCCUCCAUUCGUUUGUUUGUUCGGCUAUUUUCCCUGUCCGUACAGCCCCUACGUUUAUUUGCUCUUUUACCGAACAACUGCCGAACGGCCGGCCACGCAGCAUGGAAGUGUACUGCUUGUUAACCUCUUGGCCCCAUCAGAACGUUGUGGUUAACCGCAGACACUUCCUAAUUGUCGAAUGCCGACUAGGUGGUCGUCGUUCGUAUGCCGACCACGGGGCGGCGGCCAUCUUGGACAUAGGAAUGCCCAGCGGUGUUCGGCGAUGAUUUUCAUGGAACUAAAAACAGACACUAUUUCUCACGAACACCGCUGAAGCCGCCGACCUCCCUUCUUCUAUUCAUCCAGCAUACGAACGCCGGCCUGUUCGGUACUUUUUCUGCAUGAAUGGACUUACCCCAGAUAGCUAUGCCAUGGAGCCCAUUCGUAUAACGAAAAACUGUGAAAGACUUUGGUUCCAUGGCGAUUUAACUGUAUGUAUGUGAUCUGAGCGCCAUUCGGUAAUAAUGUGCACUCAGAUCUAAGCUAUCUGGGGAUAUGUUAAUUGUAUCUAGUGCAUUCGGUAGUUUUUAUGUUAUAUAUUUUUAUGUGUUUUUUUCUGCCACAUGUAAAAUAGAGUUUUGCCUCUAUCCUGGGAGAUAAUUGAAUUACUUCCCAAUUAUCUCCAGGAUAGAGAGGAGGGUUCUUCACAGCUAAAGGGGAGUGCUUAUGCCUGUAAUACUGUGAUUGGUUACUUUGUCAUUUUUGUCACAGUUUUCCAUCAGGUCCCCUAAGGGAGUGUCCACCUGGUGGAAGACCUGCAUAAAUACCGGGCAGGUAGCCCCAAUAAACGAGAUCUUUGCUGACCCUCAAUACGGAGCUUGGUCUUGUACUUGGGGGGAUUUAUACAUAUGGAUUUAUUGUUCGACUGUUUGGAGUGGAGAGUGUUCAUAUGAUUCUUGUUCGGCAGAUUGGAGUGUUCGUUAGCUGCCUUCGCAAUCGGGAAGGGAACAUCCUAAACGGCAUUAACCCCCUGUAUACCUGGAGGUGCCGUUACAACCAUCAUCUAGGCCCACUGGCCCCUUUUGCCUUCCUAAAUAUAGUAAAAUCAUACUUGUAUUUAAGUCUGCAGCUACUGCCUCAUCCCCGAUCUGCCUGCUGUCUGCUGACAUCAUCAGAGUAGUGGUCUGAACCAAUCACAAUGCUUCACCAUUGGAUUGGCUGAGACUGUUAAAGAGGAAGAUCAGGGGCAAGGCCAGCCCUGGCCAAUCAGCAUCUCCUCAUAGAGAUACAUUAAAUUAAGAGACACUGAAUUGUAGUGCUGCACAGUGUGCAGCACUGCCCAUGAAGCACCUCUAGCAGCCAUGAGGAGUGGCCAGUGGAGUUAUCACUAGGCUGUAAUGUAAACACUGCAUUUUUGCUGAAAAGACCGUGUUUACUGCAAAAAGACUGAAGGAAAUGACUGUACUCACCAGAACAAAUGCAAUAAGCUAUAGUUGUUCUGGGGACUAUUGUGUCCCUUUAAAUCGAAGUCUUAGUGAGUUAUUUCAUGUACUUUUACAACAGAUUGGCCACUUGUAUUUGUAGAUUUCAACAAAACUGGUAAAAUGUAUAAUUUUCAUUUCCCUCAUGUUAAUGAGCAUAGAGAUACUAGAUAAUUUGUGGAGAAUAGCAUAUUUUUAUAAACCAGAGCAGUUUAACAAGGUUUCUCUGGAUCUUAAAAACACUGAUGAGAUAUUUAUUUAAAAUUAUCACUUUGAAACUUGUGUUUGAUUAAACUAUCAGCAUUAUAAUCUGAAUUAUUUUACCGAUACAUAAUAAAAAAUGUAAAGGAGAAAAACAAGUGAGUGGUUAAACAGUAUUGAAUUAUUGUGCAAGUGUUUCCUUGACACUAGGAUUAAUGUAUUACAAUAUAUUUCAUUCAGUGGAGGAUGUUGGAAAACAUUUCUGAAAGAUAAAUAUAAUAAUGGGAACGCUUAUUUCACAUCAGUAAGGGUAUCAACCUGGAAACAGGAAUGCAUACAUUUGAGAAAUAUUUUUAAAUAUAUUUGUAGCCCAGAAAAUAAUUCAAAUACAUUGAAGCUGCCGGCUCUCAACAAUGCUACAAUCUAUAGUAAUAAUAGAAUUAAAAUAUUUUAAAUAAAAAAACGUUGCUAGUGAGCAUACCAAAAAAAAAUUCCAGUAGAGACGUAAAUAAAAUCCAAAAAUAAAACUAAAAGCUAUAUUUGUGUUAUCCAUGGGUGCUGGCAAAUCACAUAUUGCAAUGUAUAGAUAUUUUCUACAGUAAACCCAAGGUACUUUAAAUAUAACAUGAAAGGUAUACAUGGUGAAGAUAUUUUGGGAGCUGCCUGCCUUUUUUUGUCUGACUAAGCAGAUUUCUGAUUUAUUUCUCUUUUUAUACAUCAACACCAUUGUAUAUCCUGGAACAUUUCCCUUAAGGGAUUACUCCAGCUUGAUUUUUUAUCUCCAUCUAAGAUAAGUCUUUUGUUCUCUAUAUUUCUGUAACUCGAUCCACCCAUUUGUUUUGCUUGAAUAACAUUUUGAAAUAGCAUUACCCCCUUAAGGACACAUGACGGAAAUAUUCCGUCAUGAUUCCCUUUUAUUUCAGAAAUUAUGUCCUUAAGAAGUUAAACCAAUCUGGAAUCCAGUGUCUGGCCAAGUUCUCCCCCAAUCCAUUUCACUGUUUCUUUGUCAUCAUUUUCUGAGUCGCGUGUCAUUCAAAUGCAUUUCAAGGAAGGGAAGAAUGGAGGGAGGUGAGGGGAGACUUGGUGGAUAGAAUUAGGGAUGGAGGCAAGGAGAGAGCAAACUUAACUGUAAUCCAGUGUCUCGCCAAGUUCUCCCGAUCCAUACCACUGGUUCUUUGACAUCAACACUGAGUCAUCUACUAAGUUGCGGCCCAAUCAAAUGCAAUCAAAUUCAUUUAGAGAAAGGAAAGAAUGGAGGGAAAGUGGACUGGCCAGAAAGUUUAAAAUGGGGGGAUAAGUGGAGGGGAAAAAGUGGUAGGGACGUAAGNNNNNNNNNNNNNNNNNNNNNNNNNNNNNNNNNNNNNNNNNNNNNNNNNNNNNNNNNNNNNNNNNNNNNNNNNNNNNNNNNNNNNNNNNNNNNNNNNNNNGUCGCUUUCUUUAGUGAAGGGCAAGUUGUAACAACCUUAGAUUUGCUGAUCCCGACUUUACCGGGUUCUUUGUGACACCUGAAGCUGCCUGCAGCCGGUUGCCUGUGAUGGAGUGGGAGAUGUGGCAAAUCUCCCGCCUCAGAGAUAAGUCCCCCCCUUUUGGACCAGGGGUCAUCCCGGUCCCCUACAGCACCAUGUGACAGGGCUCUGAUCAUUGGACAUUUGAGACCAAAGUGCACACCUACAAUGGUGGCUGCUGAAGCCAAGAUGGCUCCCGAGGGCAUAACUGAACACGUGCAACCUACUAGUAAAGAAUCACUUUGACCAAUUUUGUGCUGCAUUUUGGAAGCGCUUACAGGAGAGGCAUAAAUUGGAAAGCAGAGCAGGAAAACCUCGGACGCAGAGACACACCGCACCUCAUGAAAAUCCCCAGAGGUGGCGCACUUUGGUCGUAUUGGAGACUGAACAGACAGAGUAAACACACACUAUCUGCAAAGCUCAAACCUCCAGUGUACCUAUCCCCAUGACCUGCCCUCCCCACAAGAAGAUCUAAGAGGUCCCGGUACAAAAGCAUGGCUGGGGGACGUUUCUGGCCUGAUUACACCAACUAUGGGCAGAGGGCUGGUGGCGAGUGCCAUGUCAAAGAAACGCAGUGUGACAGGGUACAAAUGAGAAACUCCUCCACCGUCAUACUGGGCCUGUGAGCAGGGUCUCUAGCUUAGGCAUCGGCUAGCCUAUAGACUGAUCUGGGGACUAACACUGUUCACUCCUGCCUACACUUAAGGUUCCACCAUAAUGUUUAAUACCCCUAUCUGUGGUUAACCACAUACUUCAGUUUUUUUUUAUAAUAUGCCUUCAAAUUUAGCUACAUCUACUUGCAUGAGCCUUUCUCACAGACCUCUCUAUGACAGCUGUAGGAUAAUAUUUAAUGUUGAGAAACCACCCGGAGUGGUGUGAAAUGCAUCCAGGGCUUUUCUAAUCUUCCUUUAUGAUCGGCUUCAUUGGUGGUCUCUCCCCUGUACAGCACUGCAGGCAAGGCCGGCCUUAGGGGUGUGCGAGCUGUGUGGCCGCACAGGGUGCCAUGGAAGCAGGGGGAGCCAUGCAGCUGACACAGCUCACACAUGGCCAGCCGGGAUUAUAAAAAAAAACAACAACAAACAAAUAUUGCUGCACUGCCUCCACUCCUCCAUAAUGAACAGAGGUAACUAUGUGUGUGACUGUCUGCCUGUGUGUGUUUGACUGUCUGCAUGUGUGUGUCUAUGUGACUGUGUGUCUAUGUUACUGACUGUCUGCCCGUGUGUGUGUGUGUGUGUGUGUGUGUGACUGUCUGCCUGUGUGUGUGUGUGUAUGUGACUGUGUUCCUGUAUGUGUGUAUGACUGUCUGCCUGUGUGUGUGUGUCUUUGUGUAUGACUGUCUGCCUGUGUGUGUGUGACUGUCUGCCUGUGUGUGUGUGUGUGUAUGACUGUCUGCCUGUGUGUGUGUGACUGUCUGCCUGUGUGUGAUUGUCUGCCUGUGUGACUGUCCUCCUGUGUGUGUGUCUAUGUGACUGUCUGUGUGUGUGUGUGACUGUCUGCCUGUGUGUGUGUGUGUGUGUGUAUGUCUGUGUGUAUAACUGCCUGUGUGUGUGUGUUUGACUGUCUGCCUGUGUGUGUGUGUGUGUGUGUGUAUGUCUGUGUGUAUAACUGCCUGUGUGUGUGUGUUUGACUGUCUGCCUGUGUGUGUCUAUGUGACUGUGUGUCUGUGUGACUGUCUGACUGUGUGUGUGUCUAUGUGACUGUCCUAUCCUGUUAACUCCUAUCUGUGUUUCUCAUCCUCUUAACCCCCGUAUGGAUAUCUCUCAUCCUGUUAUCCUGUUAACCCCACCUGUCUCUCACUCUCAUCCUUUUAACCCCCAUCUGUCUCUCUCAUCCUGUUACCCACAUCUGUCUCAUUCUGUUAACCCCAUUUGCUUCUCUGUCUCAUCCUUUUAAACCCCAUCUGUCUCUCAUCCUGUUAACCCCACCUGUCUCUCUCUCGCCCUGUUAACCCCACCUGUCUCUCUCUUGCCCUGUUAACCCUAUGUGUCUCUAUCUCUCUCUCUCUCAUCCUGUUAACCCUAUUUGGGUUUCUCUCAUCUUGUUAACCACAUCUGCUUCUCUGUCUCAUCCUUUUAACCCCAUCUGUCUUUCAUCAUGCUAACCCCCAUCUGUCUCACUGUGUCACCAUGCUAACCCACAUGUGGCUCUCUGUCUCAUUAUGUUAACCCCCAUCUGUCUCCCUGUGUCAUCCUGUUACCCCCAUGUGUCUCUCUCUCAUCAUGUUAACCCCCAUCUGUCUCUCUGUCUCAUUAUGUUAAAGGAACAAUAUAGGGUCAGGAACACAAACAUGUAUUCCUGACCCUAUAGUGUUUAACCCACCAUUUAGGUAAAUGGUGCAAUCGGUAAUUAGAGGCUCUCCUAGGUGGCCGCCGUUCGACUACCGACCAUGCGGCGGUCAGCCAUCUUGGAUCCUUUGUUCCCCAGCGGUGUUUGGUCGUCAAGCGCAUGGAACUGAAAACGGCUACUCGACGGCGCGAACACUGCUGGUCUUCCAGAGCGUUCGGGAGUCCCGGGACGUUUGGUAGUUUUGUUCAUUUAUACCAAUCGGUAUUUUUACCCCAGACCCCAGCUAUCUACCAAACGUCCAUUCGUUUAAAUCUGUCAAGUAUGUGAAAAGUUAUGGAUUUUAAUGUGAAUUUUCGGUUCUGCUGCAUGGAGGGAUAAUCCACUUAACGGUACAUUCCAGUGGGAGUAUCCCUCUCGUGCAGCAGUGCCUGAUGGGAGAAAAGCUCUGUACAUUAAGUUUCCCAUGUAGUCCACUCUGGGAAUUCCCCUGGAAUAGGACUCAGGAAACCCCUUGCAUGGGGAAUUGUAUAAAUUGUGGAGCUGUGAAUAAAGACCUCAGUUGACUCCCAGCCUAUGUGUCGUCUAGUUCUUGGGAAGGAAGGAUUACUACAAUGCUACCUGGAUUAUUGCAUGCUGAUUCCCCUGGAUUAUCCUUUGUUGUUCCUGUUACCCAGUGGAGAUAUUGUGGAUUAUACUGCCUCUCCGCUACAAUUGGUGGCAAGCGACGGGAUUGAAUCUACACAGCAAAGCAUCGUUCGGCAGAAUUAAAAUGAAUAAAGGAGCAGCAAUUCGGGAAUUAGCUCAUUCGGAUAAAACCCACGAACGGCCGGUGAAUGGGAACAAAUUACACCCUGCUAAAAUGGAGCACACUAAAGGAGCUGCUGGAAGCAAGAGGAGCAAUAGCCAGUAACAAGGCAAAGGCUGUCCUAAUUACAGAGCUCAUGGAAGGAGACAGAGCCGCAGCUGCUGCAGCACCUCCAAUGGAAGAAGAACCAAACGAGUUUGCAACCGAAUUCAGAAUACGAAUGGCUUUAUUCCCUGAACCACCAUCUGCAGAGACGGUCAGCAGGCUCUUCGCUGAUGUACAGGAGUACAUCAUGUUUAGGAGGGCGCAAGGGAAUCAACAAGCCAGAGAAAGAGCCACAACACCCGUCAAUAUACUCCCAGGGAAAACCAAAAUUCCCUACCAAGCCUUCAAAAGCUAUGUGGAGGCUGAAGGUGGCAUUGACGACUACUUACAGGACUUUGAGAGGCUGUGUUUGCUGCAUGACAUCAGCGAUGCGGACCGGGUACCCCUACUAGCAGGGAGAUUAUCUGGGCGCGCCGUAGAAGCAUACCGGGCAGUACCAGAUGAGGAUAGUAGAGACUACAAUAAGGUGAAACAGGCCAUUCUAGCCCGGUAUGCGAUCACCUCCGAGGCGUACCGCAUGAAGUUUGGGGCCUUAAAAAAACCACUAAAGACCCUCAUGUGGAAUGGGCACACCAGCUACAGCGAGCUGCAAAUGGGUGGUUGGAGGCCGCCCAAGUUAACACAUUGGAGGGUCUGUUCCAACUGAUGGUCCUGGAGCAAUUCUUCAAUGGAAUCCCUGCAUACCUACAGAAUUGGAUCCGGGACAGAAAACCACACACCCUGCAGGAGGCGGCUAAAAUGGCAGACGAGUUUGCACAUUCAGAGGGACUGCCCACGGAAUCGACCCAGGCCUAGCUGGAAUAACACAGUCCUGAGCAACCGGGCGGCCGUGCACUGCAUACUGUAACGAUACCUUACCUGGGUCCGCCGAUCCCGCGCGGCACGACAGCUUCCCCGGCUACUUCCGGGAGGCGGCGCAGCCUCUCGGACGCUGCCCGCUCGCGGCAAAAUCCGUUUUAUGACGCGGCGCAUGCGCGCCGACGUCAUAAUGAUUUUGCCGCGAAAAUUCAAACGCGGCCACGCUCCCGAACCUUUUGGGGGCGUGGCUUUAAAGUGACACACACAUUAGUAUAAAAGGGCAUUCCUGUCCACCCCUCAGUGCCCUAGUGUGGUUCUUGAUUGUUCCCCUAGUGCUCUUUUACUGUUUAGCUGUUUUUCUGGUAUUUUGACUCUUGGCUUUCGUUCUGACUAUUCUCCUAUCUGGCUCCCUGACUUUUGGCUUGGCUUUUUCGUAUAUCCCGAUUUCCGUACUCCCUUGACCCUCGGCUUUUUCUUGACUAUUCUUUGACGUUAAGUCCGGCCACCCUAAGGUCCGGUAUACGUCCCUUUCAGGGUUACCAUCUGUGUGAAGGGGUCACUACCGUGACACAUACAGGCCGAAUCAUACCAACCCCCAGAGACAGGGGCAACCCUGGAGGAACCCCAUCCAGGCCGCCUCCAAUAAUCGACAAGGGCACCGCCAGGAGGUGCAUAUGGAGGGGAGAAAGGUACAAGGACUUCGUGACUCUGGGGCUACCUUAACUUUAGUCCGAAGUCAUUUGGUACCAAAACCCAAGCUCACUGGAGAAUGUGCUGCAGUACGGGUGGCAGGGGGAGCCAUUUACAAAGUACCUACGGCCAAGGUACAGUUGAAUUGGGGAGCGGGGCACGGGAAUGUGUAUGUGGGGAUGAUGCAGGACUUGCCAGCGGAUGUGAUUUUGGGCAACGACUUGGGGGAGCUGACUUCAGCAUUUGUUCCACAGCCCACAGUACAGGAGGCCUAUUCGGUUGUGACCCGACAACAGGCCCGCACCACAGCACCAUCCAACCACUCUGAGGCACAGGUAAGCAAUGACCCCCCCAUACCCACUGACGUGCCAUGGGCCAAUCCCCUAGAGUUUGGGUCAGAAGUGGCCCUAGACCCCUCUUUACAGGUGUAUAAAGACCGUAUUGAUAAAGAUCAAGCAGGAUUAGAAGGGGAAAGGUAUAUCUGGGACAAAGGACUACUGUACCGACAUGCAGAAAAGGUAGUGUCUGGGUCUAUACCUUUACCCAUUAAGCAACUAAUAGUGCCUCGGAAGUAUAGGUUAGAGUUAUUACGCAUAGCCCGUGAUAUUCCCCUGUCUGGGCACUUAGGCAUCAAUUGUACUAAACACAGGCUGACUCAAAACUUCUUUUGGCCAGGUAUUUCACAGGACGUUAGGCGAUAUUGCCAGACCUGUGAUACCUGCCAAAGAGUAGGGAAGAGAGGGGACAGAUACAAAGCCCGGCUAAGGUCUCUGCCCAUAAUUGAGGAACCCUUCAGUAGAGUGGCAGUAGACAUCAUAGGACCUCUAGCAAAACCCAGCCCAUCCGGCAAUAAAUAUGUCUUGACCGUGGUGGAUUACGCCACCAGGUACCCUGAGGCAGUGGCGUUAGCCAAUGUACACGCUGAAACAAUAGCCGAGGCCCUGAUGCGAAUAUUCACCCGGGUAGGAUUUCCCUGGGAGAUUAUUUCAGAUAGGGGCACCCAGUUUACCGCUGAAGUGACCCAUCAGCUCUGGAGGAUAUGCGGGGUACAGCAAAUCCUGAACUCUCCAUAUCACCCCCAGUCCAAUGGACUCUGUGAACGGUUUAACGGAACACUUAAGCAAAUGAUCCAUAUGUUCAUGGACACCCAAAAGGACUGGGAAAGGUUUUUACCCCACCUGCUGUUUGCGUAUCGGGAGGUGCCCCAAGAAUCCACCGGAUUCUCUCCAUUUGAAUUGUUAUUCGGGAGGAGAGUGAGGGGACCCCUUGACUUGAUACGGGAACACUGGGAGGGAGACGAGACCAUUAGUGGCACCCCUAUCCUACCCUAUGUGCUCGAGUUCAGAGAACGCCUGGAGAUGCUGACCCAGACCGUCCGAGGCAAUCUCCAGGUAGCUCAGCAACGACAGCGCAGAUGGUAUGAUAAGGGAGCCAGGGACCGCAGCUUUCAGGUGGGGCAAAAAGUACUAAUCUUGCGACCAGUACACAAAGAUAAGCUGCAGGCUUCCUGGCAGGGCCCAUACAAGGUGGUAGAACAGAUCUGCGAUACCACCUAUGUGAUCGUCCCGGUUACAGGCACGGGAGACAAACGCAUGCUCCAUGUGAACAUGCUAAAGCCGUACCACGAGCGCACUGAGGAGGUGACCGCAAUCUGUGCCCCUGCCACCGAUGAUUUUGACAAUCUACCUCUUCCCGAUCUCCUAGACCAAGAGGGCCAGAGUGGAGCCUGGGAGAAGUACAGUUAGGAGAGCGGUUAAACCCCCAAGAGCGAACCCAAGUGCAAAGGUUACUCCAGGAAAAGAGAGCCACGUUUUCUAAUUUACCCAGCUAUACCCCGUUAGCUACGCAUAAAGUAGAAACCUUAGACCAGACCCCCCUGCGCCAAACCCCAUACCGCAUACCCGAAGCAGUCAAAGAAAAUAUGCGCAAGAAAUUGAGGAAAUGCUUCAGUUGGGAGUGAUAGAGCACUCCGACAGCCCCUGGGCCUCCCCGGUAGUACUAGUGCCGAAACGGGACAGAACAACCCAGGUUAUUGGAUGGGUUCCAGGAGUAUGCAUGGGAAUAUCUGGAUGAUAUUGCCAUAUUCAGCUACUCCUGGCAAGAACAUCUGACUCACAUAGGAGCCAUACUAGACCAGAUCCGGGAGGCCGGACUGACACUAAAACCCAGCAAAUGCCAUAUAGGUAUGGCAGAAGUGCAGUACCUAGGACACAUACUAUUUAGAACCCUGGGGUAAUUCAAAAGGCAUAUUUUGAACCUUGGCGUGGGAUAAUUUUUUCUCUAGUUUGUUCCAGGUGCAGUGGUAAUGAGCGUUUUUAAAAUGUAUUUUUUUACUUUUUUUAACUUUUUCACUUUUAAAAACUAGUUUUUAAACUUUUGUUUUGCUUAUUAUUUUUUUUUAAAACUUUCCUAAACUUUCUUAAAACUUUUUUACAGAUUUAACAUUUUUCAAAGCUUUUUUAUUUACCGUUAACCCCUAACUAGCAGUAAGCAGCACUAACAGUAAAUUCCCCAUUUUCCCAUAACUCCCCCCCACCCCAGCUAGCAAAAUAUAUAGUUAUAAAAUAUUUUAAUUAAUGAAUUAAUUAAUUAAAUAAAUUGAACCCCUGAGGGUUAAAAAAUAAAUAAAAGUUAAUCCUCAGGGGUUAAAAAAAAUUAGAUCACAGUAUAAUACUGUGAACUGUGUUUGAUCGCUGUAGGCAGUGAUCGACUGGCAGGGAAGGGGUUCAUUUUUAUUUGGACAAGGUAAAGGGUUUUUUUUUAAAUUUUUUACUUAAACGUUAUUAAAACUUUUUUUAAGCUUAAUUUUUAACUUUUUAAAGUUUAUUUUAAAACUUUUUUUAACCUUAACCCCUAGUUAACCUAAUGCCAAAUCCCCCAAUUCCCCACUAACUUCCACCCACCCACCCCAGCUAGCUAAAUAUAUAAUUUUAAAAUAUUUUAAUUAAUUAAUUAAAUUUAACCCCUCAGGGUUAAAAAAAAAAAAAGAAUUAACCCUCAGGGGUUAAAAAAAAAAAUCAGAUCAUAGUAAAAUGUAAUCCCUGCCAAGUGAUCACUGUAGUCAGUGAUCAAUUGGCAGGGAAGGGGCUAAUUUUUUAUUACAAUGGGUAAAGGGGGGUGGUACUUUAAAUUAACUUUAUUUUUUUUACAUCACUGUUCCGGCUCCCUGCACUUCACACAGAACCAGGAAGUGCAGGGAGGCAGAAGGUAAGUAUACAGAGCACAUGUGCUCGCUCUGACUUGCGGUCAGAGCGAGCACAUGUGCUGGGCAGCCUGACCGGGUGCUCCCGGUAUGCCUCUAAUGCAAUAGCGGCGAUCCGGGGUUAAUUUUACCGCAUGACGGACAAGGUCCGUCACUCAUCACUAAGGGUCUCCCCUCUGUGACGGACCUUGUCCGUCACCCAUCCUUAAGGGGUUAAAAGAAGAGAUCAGCCCGCUACAGGGUGAGGGAGAAAAAGCCAGCUAGGAGAGCUGAAGGAGAGAGAACAACAAUUGUGUUUAUUGCAAAUCCAUUUCGUUUUUUUGGAAAAUUGGUAAGUGGGAAAGCCACCCAAUUACAGAUAGUGAUUUCUGUCUAGUAAGAGCUCAAGUAAGAGCAAGGAAUUUUGUUUGUUUAUUAUUAUUUAAAGCACCUGUUUUUCUUAUCAAAUAAAAAGGAAAACCGAGCUGAAUGUGUCCUGGACUUUGUAUACCCUAGAAGGCUGUGGUUACUGCAAGAUCUGUGACAAUCCUACAUGUAAAAGAGGUGGUUUGUUACAUAUGGUGGAGAAUGCGGGCAGCCACGUAAGCCUGAGGGUAGAAGUCAUUUAUAGCUCAACAUGGAGGAUGUUAUCAAGGCUCUGAUCCAAUCCACCUCUGUGCAACAGGAGGUUAACAGGAAAGCUGCAGAAAACAGCGCAGCCAGGGCCGUCUUUAACGCGGGGCAAACGGGGCAGCUGCCCCGGGCCCAGUUGCUCCUGGGGGCCCAGAGCAGCUGCUCUGUGGGCCCCGCGAUUUGCGGCUCCCGCACACUGAGGAGGCUCCCCGGGUGUCCCAUGCACUAAGGGCCACCCGGGGAGCAUGUGUCAGCAGGGGCCCGGCGGGCGUUGUGGCGCUUAAACAGCGCGACCGGGCCCCUCUUCCGGUUCUGCAGCCGGCUGGGAGGAGUGACGUCACUUCCUCCCACCGGAGAUAGCCGCGCGGGAGGAGGAAGGCAGGGAGGAGGGGAGUUCAAGAGGAGAACUCCCAUCUGCCUCAGCCUGCCACUGGACCAGGGAAACCACCCUCCAGGAAAAGGUAAGAACCUGGAGGGUGGCUAAAUGUAUGUCAGUAGGUCUGUCUGUGUGUGUGUCAGUAUGUCUGUGUGUAUGCCAGUAUGUCUGUGUGUGUGUGUGUGUGUCAGUAUGUCUGUGUGUAUGCCAGUAUGUCUCUGUGUGUGUGUCAGUAUUUCUGCGUGUGUGUGUCAGUAUGUCUGUGUGUAUGCCAGUAUGUCUGUGUGCGUAUGCCAGUAUGUCUGUGUGUGUGUGUCAGUAUGUCUGUGUGUAUGCCAGUAUGUCUGUGUGUGUGUG
rnacentral:lncRNA from 1 species